rnacentral:rRNA from 1 species
AUUGAACGCUGGCGGCAGGCCUAACACAUGCAAGUCGAGCGGCAGCGGGACCUUCGGGUCGCCGGCGAGCGGCGGACGGGUGAGUAAUGCCUAGGAAUCUGCCUGUUAGUGGGGGAUAACGCGGGGAAACUCGCGCUAAUACCGCAUACGUCCUACGGGAGAAAGUGGGGGACCCUCGGGCCUCACGCUAACAGAUGAGCCUAGGUCGAAUUAGCUAGUUGGUGGGGUAAAGGCCCACCAAGGCGACGAUCCGUAACUGGUCUGAGAGGAUGAUCAGUCACACUGGAACUGAGACACGGUCCAGACUCCUACGGGAGGCAGCAGUGGGGAAUAUUGGACAAUGGGCGAAAGCCUGAUCCAGCCAUGCCGCGUGUGUGAAGAAGGUCUUCGGAUUGUAAAGCACUUUAAGUUGGGAGGAAGGGCGCUCGGUGAAUACCCAGGCGUCUUGACGUUACCGACAGAAUAAGCACCGGCUAACUUCGUGCCAGCAGCCGCCUGUAAUAC